UUAAUACCUCAUAGUAUGCAGAGUUGGCAUCAACACUGCAUUAAAGUCACAACGGUGAAAGAUGAGCAUGCGUCCCAUUAGCUAGUUGGUAAGGUAACGGCUUACCAAGGCUACGAUGGGUAGGGGUCCUGAGAGGGAGAUCCCCCACACUNNNNCUGAGACACGGNNNAGACUCCUACGGGAGGCAGCAGUGAGNNAUAUUGGACAAUGGGCGCAAGCCUGAUCCAGCCAUGCCGCGUGCAGGANNACGGUCCUAUGGAUUGUAAACUGCUUUUAUACGAGAGGAAACACUCCUUCGUGANNGAGCUUGACGGUAUCGUAAGAAUAAGGAUCGGCUAACUCCGUGCCAGCAGCCGCGGUAAUACGGAGGAUCCAAGCGUUAUCCGGAAUCAUUGAGUUUAAAGGGUCCGUAGGCGGUUUAAUAAGUCAGUGGUGAAAGCCCAUCGCUCAACGGUGGAACGGCCAUUGAUACUGUUAGACUUGAAUUAUUAGGAAGUAACUAGAAUAUGUAGUGUAGCGGUGAAAUGCUUAGAGAUUACAUGNNNUACCAAUUGCGAANGCAGGUUACUACUAAUUG
rnacentral:rRNA from 1 species